CACCCACAGAGGCUCUCCACACCACACCACCACUGCUGGGAGAAGGGGAGGGAUGGUGUCAGCAAUUCCGGACUUCAGAAAAAAUAUCUCUUCAGUGGGUCUUUCAGUGAUAUGAAGUUUAAACCAGAUACUAUCACAUCACUUCCUAAAGAAGAUAGAACAAAAGACCACUUGAGCACUUCUCCUACCAUUUUCUACACUUCUAAAUGACACCAGCUUUUACAGAUGACAGAUCUCCUUUCAAUUGCAAAACUGUGGAGUUUACACAAUGAAUUAUAUGGCCUCACUUUUAUCAGAUGAAGCUUCAAGAUCAAGUCUCUCUACACCAAAAUCAGCUUUCAGUUUCCAUGGAACCAACUGAUAGAUGCCCCUACCUGAGGCCUGGUGGGUCAGAUAUCUCUAUUCACUUCACCCUUGGAUGACUAUCUUCACCUUUCUAGAGUUCUUAGUCAAGCACAAGCGAAAAGGGGAAACUUCAGUUUUUAUUUGCCAAAAAAAGAGAGAGGAAAAUAUGUCCUUGAAGCAAAGGAGCAAGACUUAGUUAGUUUGAAGCACAUUAAAGAAGACUACAGAGGAGAAGGCAAAAUGUACUUAUUUUAAAAUGUUCUCCAGCUUAGUUGUAUACACAUUUUCUUCACUGUUAUCUAGACUUAACUUUAUUUUAAAAUAUUUCAAGAUAAGACAAAAAUAUAUAAUAACAUAUGGAUACUAAUCAAAUGUUACCAAUACAUUGGAGUCCCCCUCAUCCUCCCAGAUAUAAUACAAUCCCCUCUUGCCACCACACAGGUAAGCACUAUCCUGAAUGUCAAAUUUUUUCUGACAUUUGCUUAUUUCUCUCAAAAUUCUGUAUGUGAGUUAUACCUUUGUUUAUACAUGUAGCACUAUUUUAUUCAUUUUUAUUGCUAUACACUAUAAUUAUGCUAUGAAUUGAAUUAUGUACCCUCUAAUUUCAUAGGUUGAAGUCCUAACCCCCAAUAUGAUUGUAUUUGGAGAUAGAGACUUUAGGAGUUAAAGAAGGUUGUUAGGUCAUAAAGAUGGGGCCCUAAUUCCAUAGAACUAAUAGCUUUAUAAGAAGAGGAACAAAGAGAAGCCUCUUUCUUCAAGCACAUGCACAGGGGGAAGACCAUACAAAAAUAUGAUAACCAUCUAUAAGCGAGUCAGAGAGCUCUCACCAAAAAAACAAAUCAGGCAGAACCUUAAUCUUAGACUUUCAGCCUCCAGAUCUGUGUUAAAAUAAACUUCUGUUGUUAAAGUCACAUUAAGUUUAUGGUAUUUUGCAUGGAAACCUGAGCAGACUAAUUAAAAAAAUUAAUAUCACAUCCUUUCUUCUUAAUGUAUAUCUAAGCAUGCAAUUACAUGUCUAAUAAAGCUUGGUUAAUAGAAAUGUUAUGCAUAGGUACUUGGAAAUGAGAAAAUAUACUCAAUUUUUUAUUUACUAAAUAUUUUUAUUUAUUUAUUUAUUUUGAGACAGGGUCUCAUCCUCUCACCUAGGCUGAAGUGCAGUGGUGUGAUCAUGGCUCACUGAAGCCUCAAUAUCCUGGUCUUAAGCCAUCCUCCCACCUCAGCGUCCUAAGUAGCUGGGACUACAAUCACACACCACCAAGCCCAGCUAAUUUUGUACUUUUUUUGUAGAGACUCAGUCUGGUCUUGAACUCCCAGGCUCAAGUGAUUUUCCUGCCUCGGCCUCCAAAUUGCUUGGAUUACAGGCAUGAACUACUGUGACCGGCCAACUAAAUUAUUUUUAAAAAAAUAAUUGUAC
rnacentral:lncRNA from 10 species